UUGACAGCUGUGGAGACUGAAGUUCUCUUUUUAAUCAAGGGACAGGUAUGGCAUGGCAGCACCAGUACAGCCUUCCUCAGCACUGCCCUGGACUCAAGCUCUCUUGGGCUACUGGAGAGGUUCCCAGUAGGGUUGAGUGGUUCACUCACCUUGCUCUUUUGUUGGCCUCU
rnacentral:sRNA from 1 species